UACGUAGGGUGCGAGCGUUAAUCGGAAUUACUGGGCGUAAAGCGUGCGCAGGCGGUUCGCUGUGUCCUGUGUGAAAGCCCCGGACUUAACCUGGGAAUGGCAUGGGAAACUGGCGGGCUGGAGUGUGGCAGAGGGGGGUGGAAUUCCGCGUGUAGCAGUGAAAUGCGUAGAGAUGCGGAGGAACACCGAUGGCGAAGGCAGCCCCCUGGGCUAACACUGACGCUCAGGCACGAAAGCGUGGGGAGCAAACAGG
rnacentral:rRNA from 1 species